GAUGAACGCUGGCGGCGUGCCUAACACAUGCAAGUCGAACGACCACACAAGGAGCUUUCUCCUCUGACUUUCGCGUCGGGCGGGUGAGUAACACGCAGCUAACUCUGCUCUGUCAUUGGGGUUACUUCGGGAAACCUUACCUUAUUCCCGCUUAUAUAUUUCGCCUCAUGGUUCAAUAUUGCAAGACGUUUUUGCUUUCACUUAUCCGUUGAUGCACGCCGCAUUAGCUAGUUGGUUAGGUAACGGCUUACCAAGGCAACGAUUCGUAGCCGAUCUGAGAGGAUGAUCAGCCACACUGGAACUGAGACACGGUCCAGACUCCUACGGGAGGCAGCAGUAGGGAAUAUUCGGCAAUGGGCGAAAGCCUGACGGAGCAACGCCGCGUGAGUGAUGAAGGCCUUCGGAUCGUAAAACUCUGUUAUUAGGGAAGAAAAAAUGUAUAAGUAAAUAUUCACGGGAUGACGGUACCUAAACAGAAAGCCACGGCUAACUACGUG
rnacentral:rRNA from 1 species